GUUGAGAACUUUUUGUUUUUGGGAGUCAUACAUGCACUUAUCCAGUGAAGGAACCUUACAUAUUGCUAAUUUGCUCAAAAGUGUUUGCUAACUUGUAGAUGUCUAACCAAAACAAUAUUUGCAAUUGCCGAAAAUGGCUAGAGACUAAUAACAUUCUUUUCCAUCAUUUUUGAGCCUUACAAAUUUUCUGGCCUUAGUUCAUUGAUUUUUGAGCAAUCAAUUGAUACUUGAUGUGUCUUUGUUGUGAUGCCAUGGCAGUGCGCUUGACACUACUUUCGUUUUACUGGAAGUCUGAAUUGUGUUCUUCAACCACAUUUGUUUAGGGUCAGCCACAUGGAAAUACUUGUCUGCAUUUCCAUGCAAAAGGAUAUCAAUAUAAUGUUCUUUUUAACAACUUUGGAUUUUGAAACUAGGCAAAGUUGUUAACAAAGAUCAUCUGUAUUUUCAUUGAUCAAUCCAAUCUAGUCUUCCAUGAGCCAAGAGAUGGUGAAAAGGAAAAAGCUUUAUGCUGCUAAAAUCUGUAUUUUCAAUUGAUUCAAUUACUUUAAGAAAGUUGGCAUUGUGAUGAUACACAAUCAUAAAAUCUCUAAAAU
rnacentral:misc_RNA from 1 species